AAAAAGCUCGUAGUUGGAUCUGCGCAAGUAGAGGGCGGUAUGCUUCGUAGCAUUACUGCCCUAUUACUUGUAGUUUUGCCAGAGGUUCCUGGGUGCUCUUAAUCGAGUGUCUAGGGAUGCUGGCAGGUUUACUUUGAAAAAAUUAGAGUGCUCAAAGCAGGCUAUUACGCUUGAAUAUUCGUGCAUGGAAUAAUAGAAUAGGAAGUUGUUUCUAUUUUGUUGGUUUUCGGAAAU
rnacentral:rRNA from 1 species